CCUACGGGAGGCAGCAGUAGGGAAUAUUGCUCAAUGGGGGAAACCCUGAAGCAGCAACGCCGCGUGGAGGAUGAAGGUUUUCGGAUUGUAAACUCCUUUUGUUAGAGAAGAUAAUGACGGUAUCUAACGAAUAAGCACCGGCUAACUCCGUGCCAGCAGCCGCGGGAAUACGGAGGCUGCAAGCGUUACUCGGAAUCACUGGGCGUAAAGGGCGUGUAGACGGGGUAGCAAGUCAGAUGUGAAAUUCUGUGGCGUAACCGUAGAAGUGCAUUUGAAACUGUUAGUCUAGAGUAUAGUAGAGGGAGGUGGAAGUCUUGGUGGAGGGGUAAAAUGCGUAGAGAUCAAGAAGAA
rnacentral:rRNA from 1 species